CAGUUGACCCCUUCGGGGUGAUUCUGGUGGAAUGAGCGGCGGACGGGUGAGUAACACGUGGGCAACCUGCCUGUAAGACUGGGAUAACUUCGGGAAACCGGAGCUAAUACCGGAUAGUAUUUCCUUUCUCCUGAUUGGAAAUGGAAAGACGGUUUCGGCUGUCACUUACAGAUGGGCCCGCGGUGCAUUAGCUAGUUGGCGGGGUAAUGGCCCACCAAGGCGACGAUGCAUAGCCGACCUGAGAGGGUGAUCGGCCACACUGGGACUGAGACACGGCCCAGACUCCUACGGGAGGCAGCAGUAGGGAAUCUUCCGCAAUGGACGAAAGUCUGACGGAGCAACGCCGCGUGAGCGAUGAAGGCCUUCGGGUCGUAAAGCUCUGUUGUUAGGGAAGAACAAGUACGAGAGUAACUGCUCGUACCUUGACGGUACCUAACCAGAAAGCCCCGGCUAACUACGUGCCAGCAGCCGCGGUAAUACGUAGGGGGCAAGCGUUGUCCGGAAUUAUUGGGCGUAAAGGGCUCGUUGGCGGUUUCUUAAGUCUGAUGUGAAAGCCCACAGCUCAACUGUGGAGGGGUCAUUGGAAACUGGGGAACUUGAGUGCAGAAGAGGAGAGUGUAAUUCCACGUGUAGCGGUGAAAUGC
rnacentral:rRNA from 1 species